rnacentral:rRNA from 1 species
UACGGAGGAUCCGAGCGUUAUCCGGAUUUAUUGGGUUUAAAGGGUGCGUAGGCGGCCUAUUAAGUCAGGGGUGAAAGACGGUAGCUUAACUAUCGCAGUGCCUUUGAUACUGAUGGGCUUGAAUGUAGUUGAGGUAGGCGGAAUGUGACAAGUAGCGGUGAAAUGCAUAGAUAUGUCACAGAACACCAAUUGCGAAGGCAGCUUACUAAAGUAUGAUUAACGCUGAGGCACGAAAGCGUGGGGAUCAAACAGG